AUUCAGCCUUGCGGCCGUACUCCCCAGGUGGCAGACUUAUUGUCUUCACUGCGGCACUGGAUAGGCCCGAAGCCUAUCCAACACCUAGUCUGCAUCGUUUACAGCUGGGACUACCCGGGUAUCUAAUCCGGUUCGCUCCCCCAGCUUUCGUCCCUCACCGUCGGGCGCGUACUAGCCGAGCGCCUUCGCCACUGGUGGUCCUUCCGGGAUUAUAGGAUUUCGCCCCUACCCCGGAAGUACCCUCGGCCUCUUCCGCCCCCAAGCCUAUCAGUAUCUUCGGCGAUCCCACGGUUGAGCCGUGGGUUUUAGCCGGAGACUUAGUAAGCCGGCUACGGACGCUUUAGACCCAAUAAACGUCCCGACCACUCGCGGAGCUGGUAUUACCGCGGCGGCUGACACCAGG
rnacentral:rRNA from 1 species